rnacentral:lncRNA from 1 species
GUCAGUAAAUCCCAAGCCCUGCAGGCCUGGCUCUUACUGUGGUGCUGUGACAGGAGAUCCUCCCCUGUGUCCUGCUGGCUACCACUGUCCUGAGGGAUCCUGGACCUACACCAGCCCCGAGCAGCUGUGUGUGUUCCCGUACUACUGCCCCCCGGGCAGUGCCCAGCCGGUGCCCUGCGGAGGAGGGAGCAUGGCCCUCAGCCUGCCUGGCCUCAGGGGCUCAGCUGAGACAUUCUGCAGGGUUUGUGCUGCAGGGACCUUCCGCAGUGACCCCCUGAUCUCAGCGCCCUGCCAGCCCUGCCCAGCCGGCUUCACCUGCCCACCAGGUGCCACCAGCUGUACCUGCCAUGGGCUGAACAGAGCUUUCCAGCACUCAGAUGCCUCCUGCAUCUGCCAGGCAGGUUAUGUUUAUUAUGAUGAGAGAGGCAAGAAAGAUCCCGACAGCAACAGCGAUCAGGAUUGCCGACCUCAGGUAAAAUCAGGCUCUGAACCA